rnacentral:rRNA from 1 species
CCUACGGGCGGCAGCAGUGGGGAAUAUUGGGCAAUGGGCGCAAGCCUGACCCAGCAACGCCGCGUGAAGGAAGAAGGCUUUCGGGUUGUAAACUUCUUUUCUGGGGGACGAACAAAUGACGGUACCCCAGGAAUAAGCCACGGCUAACUACGUGCCAGCAGCCGCGGUAAUCCGGAGGGGGCAAGCGUUAUCCGGAUUUAUUGGGUGUAAAGGGGGUGAAGGCGGGAAUGGAAGUCAGAUGGUAAAACUAUGGGCUCAACCCAUAGCCUGCAUUUGAAACUGUAUUUCUUGAGUGCUAGAGAGGCAAGCGGAAUGCCGGGUGUAGCGGUGAAAUGCGUAGAUAUACGGAGGAACACCAGUGGCGAAGGCGGAUUGCUGGACAGUAACUGACGCUGAGGCGCGAAAGCGUGGGUAGCAAACAGGAUUAGAUACCCUUGUAGUC